UACGGAGGGUGCAAGCGUUAUCCGGAUUCACUGGGUUUAAAGGGUGCGUAGGUGGGCUGGUAAGUCAGUGGUGAAAUCUCCAGGCUUAACUUGGAAACUGCCAUUGAUACUAUCAGUCUUGAAUACCGUGGAGGUCAGCGGAAUAUGUCAUGUAGCGGUGAAAUGCUUAGAUAUGACAUAGAACACCAAUUGCGAAGGCAGCUGGCUAGACGAAUAUUGACACUGAUGCACGAAAGCGUGGGGAGCAAACAGG
rnacentral:rRNA from 1 species